rnacentral:lncRNA from 1 species
CUAAGAUUUCAUGGGACUUGGGGAAGGCACAGUAUUUUUUCUUUAUAUAUUACUAUGAAUUAUUUGUGUAAUAAAAAGAAGUGUUUGUUGAAGAAAUAGAAGUUUCCAGAAGGCCUAAACUGCUAAGUAAGGAGGUUUGGUAAUACUCUGUGAUCAACAAAAUGCUAUAACAGAUUUUUUUGAAAGCAAGGGACUGACAUGAUGAAAGCAUUGCUUUAGGAAGAUUAAUACUAUAGACAUGUAUUUUUUUCUUUUUAUUUUUAUUUUACUUUAAGUUCUAGGAUAAAAGUGCACAACAUGCAGGUUUGUUACAUAGGUAUACGUGUGCCAUGGUGGGUUUGCCACACCUAUCAACCCAUCAUCAAGGUUUUAAGCCCUGCAUACAUUAGCUAUUUGUCCUAAUGCUCUCCCUCCCCUCUCCCCGACCCUGCAACAGGCCCUGGUGUGUGAUGUUCCCCUCCCUGUGUCCAUGUAUUCUCAUCAUUCAACUCCCACCUAUAAGUGAGAACAUGCAGUUUUUGGUUUUCUGUUCCUGUGUUUGCUGAGGAUGAUGGUUUCCAGCUUCAUCCAUGUCCCUGCAAAGGACAUGAUCUCAUUCCUUUUUAUGGCUGCAUAGUAUUCCAUGGUGUAUAUGACAUGUACAUUUUUUAACAA